UACGUAGGUGGCAAGCGUUGUCCGGAUUUAUUGGGUUUAAAGGGUGCGUAGGCGGUCUAUUAAGUCAGCGGUGAAAUACUCCAGCUUAACUGGAGGGGUGCCAUUGAUACUGAUGGACUUGAGUCAAGUCGAGGUAGGCGGAAUUGACGGUGUAGCGGUGAAAUGCUUAGAUAUCGUCAAGAACACCAAUAGUGAAGACAGCUUACUGGGCUUAAACUGACGCUGAGGCACGAAAGUGUGGGGAUCAAACAGG
rnacentral:rRNA from 2 species